rnacentral:rRNA from 1 species
AGAGUUUGAUCAUGGCUCAGGAUGAACGCUGGCGGCGUGCCUAACGCAUGCAAGUCGAGCGAGGGCCAUCUGGUGGCAACACCGGGUGGUGCCUAGCGGCGAACGGGUGAGUAACACGUGGGUAACCUGCCCCCGACACCGGGAUAAGCCUGGGAAACUGGGUCUAAUACCGGAUAUGAGCCUCCUCCGCAUGGUGGGGGCUGGAAAGGGUCUCCGGUCGGGGAUGGGCCCGCGUCCUAUCAGCUUGUUGGUGGGGUAACGGCCUACCAAGGCGACGACGGGUAGCCGGCCUGAGAGGGUGUACGGCCACACUGGGACUGAGACACGGCCCAGACUCCUACGGGAGGCAGCAGCGGGGAAUAUUGCGCAAUGGGCGAAAGCCUGACGCAGCGACGCCGCGUGCGGGACGACGGCCUUCGGGUUGUAAACCGCUUUCAGCAGGGACGAAGCGAAAGUGACGGUACCUGCAGAAGAAGGUCCGGCCAACUACGUGCCAGCAGCCGCGGUA